ensembl:miRNA Mir125b microRNA mir-125b
CUUUUCCUAGUCCCUGAGACCCUAACUUGUGAGGGAUUUUAGUAACAUCACAAGUCAGGCUCUUGGGACCUAGGCGGA